AGUGAACGCUGGCGGUAGGCCUAACACAUGCAAGUCGAACGGCAGCACAGUAAGAGCUUGCUCUUACGGGUGGCGAGUGGCGGACGGGUGAGGAAUACAUCGGAAUCUACUUUUUCGUGGGGGAUAACGUAGGGAAACUUACGCUAAUACCGCAUACGACCUACGGGUGAAAGCAGGGGAUCUUCGGACCUUGCGCGAUUGAAUGAGCCGAUGUCGGAUUAGCUAGUUGGCGGGGUAAAGGCCCACCAAGGCGACGAUCCGUAGCUGGUCUGAGAGGAUGAUCAGCCACACUGGCACUGAGACACGGUCCAGACUCCUACGGGAGGCAACAGUGGGGAAUAUUGGACAAUGGGCGCAAGCCUGAUCCAGCCAUACCGCGUGGGGGAAGAAGGCCUUCGGGUUGGAAAGCCCUUUUGUUGGGAAAGAAAAGCAGCAGGUUAAUACCCCGCUGUUCUGACGGUACCCAAAGAAUAAGCACCGGCUAACUUCGUG
rnacentral:rRNA from 1 species